rnacentral:rRNA from 1 species
UGGCGAACGGGUGAGUAACGCGUGAGGAACCUGCCUCAAAGAGGGGGACAACAGUUGGAAACGACUGCUAAUACCGCAUAAGCCCACAGGUCGGCAUCGACCAGGGGGAAAAGGAGCAAUCCGCUUUGAGAUGGCCUCGCGUCCGAUUAGCUAGUUGGUGAGGUAACGGCCCACCAAGGCGACGAUCGGUAGCCGGACUGAGAGGUUGAACGGCCACAUUGGGACUGAGACACGGCCCAG